rnacentral:lncRNA from 1 species
UUGCAAAACACAUGAAACUCAAGAAGAUGGAAGACCAAAGUGUGGAUACUUCACUUCUUUUUAGAAUGGGGAACAAAAUACCCAUGGAGGGAGUUACAGAGACAAAGUUUGGAGCUGAGACAGAAGAAAGGACUAUCCAGAGACUGCCCCACCAGGGGAUCCAUCCCAUAUAUAACCACCAAACCCAGACACUAUUUCAUAUGCCAGCAAGAUUUAGCUGACAGGACCCUGAUAUAGCUAUAUCUUGAGAGGCUAUGCCAGUUCCUGGCAAAUACAGAAGUGGAUGCUCACAGUCAUCUAUUGGAUGGGACACAGGGCCCCUAAUGAAGGAGCUAGAGCAAGUACUCAAGGAGCUAAAGGGGUCUGCAACCCUAUAGGAGGAUCAACAAUAUGAACUAACCAGUACCCCCAAAGCUGUGUCUCUAGCUGCAUGUGUAGCAGAGGAUGGCCUAGUUGGCCAUCAAUGGGAGGAGAGGCCCUUGUUCUUGUGAAGUUCAUAUGCCCCAACACAGGGGAAUUCCAGAGCCAGGAAGCAGGAGUGGGUUCAGCAUGUCCAUGGAAGGGAAGGGACUAUGCGACACAGCUCCUGCCUCUGGAACAGAGCCAACAGGGUGAGGAUUGUCUCCAGUGCUGACG